UAACAGUGUCUCUGUAUCCGAGGGUUUUAACAGUGUCUUUGUAUCCGAGGGUUUUAACUGUGUCUCUGUAUCCGAGGGUUUUAACAGUUUCUCUGUAUCCAAGGGUUUUAACAGUGCCUCUGUAGCCGAGGGUUUUAACAAUGUCUCUGUAGCCGAGGGUUUUUAACAGUGUCUCUGUAGCCAAGGGUUCUAACAGUGUCUCCGUAUCCGAGGGUUUUUAACAGUGUCUCUGUAUCCGAGGGUUUGCACUGUGCUCUCUCCACAUGCUCUCCACAGGCUGAUCCGAAGGCUGCAGUGUGACGCCGCAGACGCAGCCGUGUGACGCCGCAGACGCAACUUCCGGGUAGCCGGCUUGGUUUGGUUUGUUUGGUUUGGUUAGCAGGACGCUUAGCGUCGACCUGCUAUCUCGGUUUGUAUCUAUUUUUCGGUAGUUAUAUCUGUGACCUGUUCUGCAUACUCUGUACUGUAUUCGCUGUUUCCUCGCCGGAGCUCCGUCUGCAUCAACCACGGGCUUUUCUGUCCAUUACAGAUACGCUUGGCUUCAAACAGCUCGUCCAGCAACCAACCCACAUCGGUGGAAACACGUUGGAUCUCGUUCUGACCCGCGGUGUUGACAUUUCGCAGCUAGUGGUCUCUUCCUACACCUCAGCUUUAUCAGACCACUUUUUGCUCACUUUCCAGGUGGUGGUAUCCUGCCCCUGCGACAAUCAGCAAGCUACUUUCAGCUGUCGCCGCAUCACACCUGCAACCAUUACAGCCAUGGAAGAUAAGUUAUCUGGUUCACUUGCACCUCUCUGUAACUAUAGUGGUUCUGUGGAGUGCCUUACUGAUGACCUCAACAUUGCCUUGUCUGUUGCCAUUGAUUCAGUUGCUCCGUACGUAACUAAAAAACGAACAGUGAAAAAACCAGCUCCUUGGUUUAAUGCAGAAACUCGCAUUUUGAAGCGUAAUUGCAGGAUCCUUGAACGCAAAUGGCGCUCGACUAAACUUGAGGUCUUUCAUCUUGCAUGGCAUAAUAGUCUGGUCACCUAUAAGGGUGCGCUGACUAUCGCCAGGAAUGCCUACUUUUCUAGUAUCAUUAAUUUGAAUAGAAAUAAUCCUAAGUUUCUUUUUGACACGGUGAGGAGUCUCACUCAGAAACAGAAUCAGACUGUAGGCUCCUCGAUCUCGGCAGGUGAAUUCAUGGAUUUCUUUGAGAAUAAGAUUCAAUCAAUUAGAGAGGAAAUUGAUGCUUACCGGGCGGCUAAUCCUACACAUCCUGUGGGGCAGGAUGGGGUUCUGCCAAGUAGGAUGGUGAACUCUGACGCAACUCUUUUGGAGUUUAAGGCGAUUUCCUUGGUGGAACUUGAAAGGGUGAUAAAGGCCUCAAAGCCAACAACUUGUAUGUUGGAUCCGCUCCCUUCUAGGGUUCUUAAGGAACUUUUUCCAACGGUGGGGCCUGUUAUCCUCUUGCUUAUGAAUCUUUCUUUUUCAACAGGAAUUGUUCCUUCCAAUUUCAAGGCUGCGGUGUUAAAACCGCUACUCAAAAAGCCUGGCCUAGAUCCUGAAUUAGUCAGGAACUAUCGGCCUAUAUCGAAUCUGCCCUUCUUGUCUAAGGUACAGGAAAGGAUUGUAGCAAAGCAAAUUGUUGAUUAUUUGACGAGGAAUAAUCUCUUCGAACCUUUCCAGUCGGGGUUCAGGAAUUUCCACUCAACUGAAACUGCUAUUACAAGAGUUGUAAAUGACAUCCUUCUUGCUUUGGAUAAAAACACAAGCACAAUGCUUGUGAUGUUGGAUCUGAGCGCUGCGUUUGAUACGAUUGACCAUGGCACUCUUCUUCACCGUCUUGAACACUAUGUUGGUUUCGGGGGUACGGCUCUUGGUUGGCUUGAAUCGUACCUCACAGAUAGAACCCAAUUUGUGCUUCAUGAGGGUGCAGAAUCAAAGCAUUAUAAAUUGCGCUUUGGCGUACCACAAGGGUCGGUUCUUGGUCCAUUGCUUUUUGCAAUUUAUAUGCUUCCCCUCGGUGACGUUAUCCGUGGCUUCGGAAUUAGUUUCCAUUGCUAUGCGGAUGACACCCAGCUCUACAUUCCUGUAGAUUCCGGGGAUUCUGCCCAGAUUCAAAAGGUUGAGUCCUGUUUGGCUGCUGUGAAGGGCUGGAUGUCACAAAACUUCCUACAGCUUAAUACUGGGAAGACAGAGCUUAUGAUUAUCGGCUCGAAGCGGGACCGGGAAAAGUUUGAGGAUGUCUCUCUGUGGUUGGAUGGCUUCGCCAUCCCACAGAGUGCAUCCGUCAGAAAUCUUGGUGUCUUGUUUGACCCUCAACUAUGCUUUGAUCAGCAUAUAAGAAGUAUAACUAGAAUUGCCUUUUUCCAUUUGAGAAACAUUGCAAGAAUCAGAUCAAUGUUAUCUGUAGCGGAUGCAGAGACACUGAUUCAUGCGUUUGUCUCGUCAAGACUGGACUAUUGCAAUGCACUGUUCUCGGGAUUACCGAACUCUACUAUAAAGAGUCUACAGCUGGUACACAAUGCGGCAGCUAGAUUGCUGACCAGAACGAGAAAGUUUGAUCAUAUUACACCUAUUCUCGCCUCUUUACAUUGGCUACCAAUAACUUUCAGAUCAGACUUUAAGGUGCUAUUGCUAACCUAUAAAGCCUUGCAUGGACUAUCUCCAUUGUACCUGAAGGACCUGAUUAUUCCUUAUAGUCCUUCUCGGUCUCUCCGGUCUUCGGGAGCCGGCCUUCUUUCAU